rnacentral:lncRNA from 1 species
GUCAUCACUGAAUUCUGAUGGGCUACCUGGAACUGGCUUAGGGUGGGAUUACAUACGCCUCCUGCCACAUCGGAUUUCCUUCUAUUUUGUCAGGGGUGGCAUCAUCCAGUGAGUAAAUCUGUUAGUGAUCUCCCUCGCAUAACCUAGGAAUUCUCUCAGGAUCCAUUUUUCCAGUAGUUUUGAGAAAGCGACCAACAACAGCAAAGAGAGUAGUUCUUCCAUUCCAAGAGCAGCCAUCUUGCUUAACUGACAAACUAGAGAGAACUGCAAGGACUCAGUACAUCCCUGGCACAGUCCAUUCUCUCUCACAGCAUAUUGUAUGAGACUGUGUGAGUGCUGCUUCCACGCUACACUAAAAACCCAUGGUCCCUGCAUUAUUUGAGCAACUGACAAGCUUCUGAAGUUCAGGUUCGCGAACGCUGAGAGCAGCACCCAGUGGAUUUGUGGCAGGGACAGCGUUUCACUAUGUUGUCCAGGCUUGUUUCAAACUCCUGGGCUCAAGCCAUCAGCCUGCCUCAACCUCCUAAAGUGCUGACAUUACAGGCAUGAGCCACUGUGCCCAGCCAGGAAAUGUUUCAAAUACUUGAGAUUUUUGAUGAACCAAGCUGGCUGGUGUCGCCUCAGUUUGUCUAAAUUACCAAGGACCGCUGGAAUUUCCCUGGGAAUAUGUUUCGGGAAAGGUCAGAAACUCUUCAGUCGUCUUCACGCUUCCACUCAGUAGCAACGUUUUUGCACACUCAUUGACUAUCAACUGGUUGUCUAUGACUCAAAUUACAUAAUGAAUCCAGCACAUAAAUUAUUUACUCAGAUUUAAUGCCAGCAACUGUUAUCUUUGUAUUUUUUUCCCCUCUGCCAGCUAAUCUGGCUCAUUUCAUUGGAAUUUUGGUCAUGCCCAUUCUCCUUCUGCACUAAAUUAACUCCAUAACGUAGUAUAAACAGAACAAGCUUGUGUGUGAUAUGCUUAACUGUUAAUUUACCUAAUUAAACUAAUUCAAUUAAAUCAUUUACAUCUUUUUGGUAACAUGCCAGUUGAUACCACAGCAGAAGUGGGAUGUUUCAGAAGAUGAUUGUUCAGCAAAUGAAUGGAAAAAAAAAUAAAAGGAAAACAAAAUGAGACAACCGUCCAAAUCUCUUGGCUUGAAAAUUAAAUGAUACUGAAAAAAUGCAGCUUUCACGGGGCACUGUGAUUAGAUAUUUUUCUGAAAUCAAUUUUCUCUACAAAUUGGUAUUUUAACAGAGUGAUCACAAUCUAUUGUACAAAAUAUUUUAAACACUAUUUGUACAUUCACAUAUUUGGUAUGUUUAAGUAAAGUGUGCUUGUUCCCACA